UUAUUUUUGGGUGAAACAAGCUUUUACGAAAUCCCAGCUGACUAGAAGUCAAUGAGGCAGCGAAUGCAUGUAUAUAGGAGGAGAUAAAUCACAAAACUUCUCAACCUCGUUUUGGCUCUGAAUAGCACAUUUCUGCAAUCAUGUGAAUGUACUCCCAAAACCUCAUAUGACACUUUUAUAAUGUACAGGACUCAAAGGACUCUUAAAAAUAUCUUUUGUGCUUUGCAAGUGUAAUCUCUGCGUGCAGCCACGGGCACAGCAGCUUUGACAGUGUUACUCGUUGUGUCCUUUAAAGGCAGGAAGAUCACAGGCCGACACGGAAAGACAGAACAGAGGGAGCGUGGAAAUCGAGACGAAAGAAAAACCGGAGGAUCAAGCCUACCAGACACCCGGUUCGGACCACCAAUUCUUCUAGCCUUAGGCCCACGCCGAGCACCCCUCCCCCCCCUGAGCGGGUGCUGUGUGCCCCCUGCCAUGGGCGCUGGAGAACCCUCGACCCCGAGUCAUGUGAGUGCCUGUGCCGGCUGAGGGAGCCAGGCUGCACACGCAGAGGGAAGACACUCAACCAGCACAGCUGCAGGUGUGAACCGAUGAGAGAAUGACGAAGAUGAACACUCAGUUCCUCCGGGGUACGACCACUCUUGGCCCUCAUAGCUUUAAGAAGAAGAGGAGAGGGACGUGCAUACCCAAGUGUUGUGAGGACAGCGGGGGGUGGCGGGGGCAGGUGAGGGGGUGCUAACCUUCAUAGACUGUGAAUGAAGACUGUGGGUCAGGGAAUGUAUAUGAUCGACAACACUUUCCCAUGAUCCCUCUCCACUCAGCAAAGCCAUCCACCACAGCGUCUGUAGAUGCCCUAAUCGACCUAUGUAUCUGUGUCUAUGUUGUGUGUGUGUGUCUUCCAGGCUUACUACGUACGUGCUUUGAUAGCAUUUGCAAAUGAACGUCACCAUGUGUAUAGACAAAUAUAUGAUAUAUGGUGUUGCUUCUUUAUGAGGUUAAAGGGUGAUGCAGGCAACGUAAACGUUUGAAAAAGGGAAAGGAUUCCCAUGACCUGGACAUGUCAAGGUCUCGUGAGCAUAAGACCCAAGGACCAGGCCCCCUGGAGGGCUAUGGAAAGGGGUAUGUUAUUACCCUUAGUGGCAAAACACACGCAGUUUUAACAGAUCUAACCCGAAAUUAAUUCAUUUUUGUUCGUAACAGAAAGGAGAAGAAAGAUCAUUUUUAUGUGUAUAGCAUAACAUUUUAAAAGUGGGUUACAAAUUCAAUCCAAUCAAAUCUCUUGAUUUUACUACUACUUCUUCAACAUUACUGCCUGUGGAAUUCAAAUGACUCGAUAACGUUACCUCAUGCUGCUGUUGUGAGACUCAUUGUCACCAUUGGUCAUUUGAAUGCUUGUGCGUGCGACAGGCUUUCACUAUAACCUUAACCACAUAGUUAACUGCUCACUUAUUACAAGGCACCUGACAAUUGAGCAUACAACAGUCAUCAGUUUCAUUCAACUUAAGUUGUACAUUUCAGAGAGAUUGGCUGUAGUGAAUGAUGGUUACUGUUGUGAUGCAGUAAGAUACAGCAGAGACAUUCAGAAAGAGAGAUGGAGAGAGAAAGCAUAGCUUCAUGCCUUUGGUAUAUAGGAUUUUGUCAUUGCAGAUAUUGGAGAUGUGUAUGUAUGUAUACACUGACCAUGAUGAUUUAAGCUGUGCAACUCAGGAUGGUUGGAGUAGAUAUCUGUGUGGUCCAUCGUUCUGCUCAUUUAUUCAUAGCUUUAUCAUGGGGCCGCAGAUUAUAUCAAUGAGUCCUUUUGAGUUUGUUUUUGUUUUGUUUGUUUUCCCCCCUCCAUCUUUCUUUUUUCUGUUAGGAUUGAAAGAGCCUUUAGCUCUGGCUAGGCAGUGAGGGGAAUGUCAAUAGUAAGGAGAACUGGCCUUAGUCCAUGGGUGCUGUGACACAGACACACACAGAUACACACACAGACACACACGCACGCACACACACACACACAGUGACUCAAACACACACAGUCACACACAGUCACACACUCUCACUUUUUCAUUCCUUUGAAAUGUAUUGAUUCAUUCCUUCUGCGUCUUUCUUCAUUACAGCUAUUUAGAGUAGUUCUCACAAUCUUACCCACCAUGUGAUGAGAGAAGACACCAUAACUCAGUCAGACCCCUUUCAGUCAUUUUCCCCCUCUCAAUCGCUUACUCUUUCUCUUUCUUCUCUCUCUCUCUCUCUCUCUCUCUUUUUGUCACACACACACACACACACACACACACACGCACAGAGAGAAAGAGAUACCUGCCUGAUUAUGAGCCGGUGAACAUAAGCUUUUUUUUUUGUCAGAAUGAAAAUAGAGAAACAUUCUAGAUUUGUGCAACAUAUGCAUUUCUUUAUUGUACUAACGUUCUUUUAGCCUCAUUCUUUUGCCGAUAGUAUUCCAAGACGUGUUUCUUUUUUUCACGCAGUGUUUCUUUGUUUCUUUGUUUUUAUUUUCUGCUAAUCUGCCUGCACAGAAUCUGGCUGGGUGGCCAAGUAUGUACACAUUUGGCCUCCGAGCAUAUGUCUGUGUUUGGACUGAAUUUAAACAAGGGAGCAGGGGAAGGAUCAGCAGGCCGGAGAAAGAGAAAUAACUGUUGAGUGUAUUAAUCAACAGCAACAUCAAUUCCAAGCAGUAUGGGAAAAAGAACACAAAUUGACCGUGGUGGCCCUGAUGGUUUUGUGAGCAUACUGUUGGUGGACUGGAUCAACUGUACAUUAUCUGGAGUUUAAUAUAUUUAUUUUUUUGUAUUGAGUUUUAUAUUGAGCUAUGCAUUAUUUCUGUGAAUUUGUGAAUUUAAUCGCUACUGUGACAACAAACAAUCAAUCAGUGUUCUACAUGGAGGACCAUUAUCAAUUUAUACAUUUAUACAUAGCAGUUGGUGAUUUAACUGUGGUUAAUAUUUAAAGAUUUACAGUUGCAUAGAUAUUAGUAUAUUUUGUUAACGUCAAACAUUUUGUAGUGCCUAUUGUUAUAAAACCAUAUAAGCGGUGGAACCCUGUUUCAAAGGCAGGCAUUCUGCAAGCACUGAAUUCCUCAUAUGAGUUCAUAGCCAAACUUUAGUCGGUCACCUUAAUCCUAGCAAUAUUUUACAUUACCUCUUUGUUCUUAGACAGAGGCAUUGGACCCAGCAUUGACGAUAAAAUGAUCACAUCGUUGUGCUUCCUCAUGGAUUUUCUGCUGCCCAUGGGUGAAAAGCCAGAGACAGUUACUAAUUUGACCAAUACCCCUGUGUAACAAUGGACUCUGUGUUGCUCUAUACAUUCCACAUCAAAACAUACGUGUGCGCACAUACCAGUGCUGUCAGUAUGUGCCCAUUCAUGUUCGAACUGGCUGUUUAUGUGUGGACCAGACACCGUGGGUGUAUAUAAUACACUUCUCUAUGUGUGGACCAGACGCCGUGGGUGCCGUGAGUCUCCCCCCUCCUGGUUCUGGAUCUCUUCUUCCAUGUUUGUUUUGGCUGAAGUGUCACAACCCUGACACACCAUUAUUUGACAGCACGGAGGCUAGAGUAGGGUCAAUAGGUGUGUGGUAUUUAGGCCUCUAAAAGAGGCCCAACGGUUGUCCAAAAGAGAAUGGAUAUUGGGCAGUUUAGACACUAGUACGUUUAGUUUUCUCCCUGUUUUAUUUUUUAGAGCAUGCACUGAACAGAACUAUUCUUCUCUCUCUCUCUCUCUCUUUUCCCAGUGGCUUGGGAAUGACCGCUUUUACUUUUGCACUUUUGACUUAAUAGGUUCAGUUCAAAAAGGGGAUAAUCUAACCAGCAUCCAACACAGCCCCUUCAUUAGUUUGGCAUUUUGCUGCUGACUUCAAAGGAAGGCAUCCAGACUAUUUAGUCUCAUAGCUCGCUACAAUGUCUUAAUUGUGUGGCAAUUCCUAAAAUUGGUAAAAAAAAAUUAUAAUAAAAAAAAUGUACAAGGGGAUCCCCCUCUCUCCUUGCCUAGAUGUCUGCACAUCAUGUAGACUUUUGUGUAUAAACAGACAAGAUCUAUCCUGUGGCAGCCGACGUGGAGUAAGAGGUAGCUGCAGUAUAGGUCAGACUGUGUAGAAUAUGAAUGUACUGUUCCCUUAUCUUGAUUGCACGCCCCCACAGAAAGAGUAUACUGUGGUAGGUAGCACAACAUUAGUGCCCGCCAUUAAGGUCAGUGUGCCGUUUUAGUUGAUGUGUUGAUGUAUCGCAUAGUAAGCUAUACCUGAAUUCAGUGUUUAAGUUCAAACAGACAGACCACUGGUAGCUCUACAAUCCGCUCAGAGCCUAUUUUUGAUCUAUUACAGUAGUGUUACCUAUAUUUCGUCUUGUAUGAUACGUAUGUGUGUGUUUUCUGAUGUUAAUGAAUACUGCUGCUGCUGCACCAUCUGUGCCCUUUAUCAUAACAUUACGUGUGUGUGUGUGUGUGUGUGUGUGUGCAAACGUUCAAAUCCAAUUUGUGCUACAGUAUACAACAAUGCCGGUCUUCAAAUGCAUAUGUGAUCCGCUUUUAUGUGUACAGUGUGUACAUAAGCUCCCAUAUCAUUUUACUUAGAGAACAAUCGAGAAACUACCUGUGACAUAUUACAAUGUCUUUGACACUAUUAAAGGGAAAUGUCUUAUUUUUGAGAA